UGCGUGGCUUAGCAAUGAACGCAGGUUCCUGCAAACAGUGAUGGCUUUGUGAGCACCAGAAGUAAAAGAAAAUCCAGGCAAAGAUUCAGAUGGAUCCAUCCGCAUGCACUCAAGGAACUUGUGAAGGAAAAGAUUCCUUUCCUGCUCUUCACAAAUGUUGGGGACAAAACAAUGAAGGUUGGCAAUUACUUUGACAAAUAAUGAAGUUCUCUGAUGAGCAUAGGCAGCUUGGGGCAUGUUGCUGGGAAUUAAAAUAAUUUCUAUACCUAUAGCAUUUGAUAGGUUCAAUGAUGAAAAUGUGUCCAAAACCCAUCCAGCUGCUGUAAAUAAAUCAUAAUCCAGAGUAGCAUCUUCCUCCCUUGGUGGAAGUUCAGAGGAACACCAAAUGGAUAAAAAUUCUCCAUGAGGCAGUGAAAAUAUGGCAGUCAGAACCUUGGUAAAGUAUGUCGUAAUGUAAGAUC
rnacentral:misc_RNA from 1 species